rnacentral:lncRNA from 1 species
UGGUGUGGUGAGGGGAAAACAAAUUUCUCAAAGGACACGCACCAUGGUGUAUGAGAGGACACUGGAGCCCAGCCAGCAUCUGACAUGCUGAAUUCAAAGUGCAGGUGAAAUUUUGCAGGCUGUACCGACAACAUAGUGGCUUCUGCUUCUGGGGAGGCUUCAGGAAACUUACAGUCAUGGAGGAAGGAGAAGGAGAAACAGGCAUAUCUUACAUGACCAAAGCAGGAGCAUGAAAGGUGAGAUGUCAGAGGUGUUUGAACCAGAGCAACUUCAUCUUUAAUAGGGACUGGGUAAAAUAAGGCUGAGACUUAUUGAGAUGCAU